rnacentral:rRNA from 1 species
AUUGAACGCUGGCGGCAGGCCUAACACAUGCAAGUCGAACGAGUGGCGGACGGGUGAGUAAUGUCUGGGAAACUGCCUGAUGGAGGGGGAUAACUACUGGAAACGGUAGCUAAUACCGCAUACCAUCGGAUGUGCCCAGAUGGGAUUAGCUAGUAGGUGGGGUAACGGCUCACCUAGGCGACGAUCCCUAGCUGGUCUGAGAGGAUGACCAGCCACACUGGAACUGAGACACGGACCAGAGUCCUACGGGAGGCAGCAGUGGGGAAUAUUGGACAGUGGGCGCGAGCCUGAUGCAGCCAUGCCGCGUGUAUGAAGAAGGCCCUGGGGGUGUAAAGUACUUUCAGCGGGGAGGCGUUACCCGCAGAAGAAGCACCGGCUAACUCCGUGCCAGCAGCCGCGGUAAUUC